GUGGGGAAUCUUGCGCAAUGGGCGAAAGCCUGACGCAGCCAUGCCGCGUGGAUGAUGAAGGUCUUAGGAUUGUAAAAUCCUUUCACCGGUGAAGAUAAUGACUGUAGCCGGAGAAGAAGCCCCGGCUAACUUCGUGCCAGCAGCCGCGGUAAUACGAAGGGGGCUAGCGUUGCUCGGAUUUACUGGGCGUAAAGGGCGCGUAGGCGGACAUUUAAGUCAGGGGUGAAAUCACGGGGCUCAACCUCGGAACUGCCUUUGAUACUGGGUGUCUUGAGUAUGAGAGAGGUGUGUGGAACUCCGAGUGUAGAGGUGAAAUUCGUAGAUAUUCGGAAGAACACCAGUGGCGAAGGCGACACACUGGCUCAUUACUGACGCUGAGGCGCGAAAGCGUGGGGAGCAAACAGGAUUAGAAACCCUUGUAGUCC
rnacentral:rRNA from 1 species